CUGCAUGUAGCACCCCGGGCUUCUCCGAAACAAUAAUUGUAUGAAGAAGAAAGCCCCAAUGCUCGUGCUAUAUCAGAUCUAUUGCCGUCGAGUGUUGCAGUUCAGCCCUCUGUACCUUUUCAGUGGCCGCUUCUGUGUCAAAUUGACGGCUACACACCAUCAAUGAACUUUUUAUUCAGUUGCUUUUGCCUCACCUCACCUUAAGCGUUUUUCCUAAAUGAAUUAACUGGAAAGAGGUCUAGUCAUGGAGGCAUAUACUUAACCCUAGGCGGUGUUAACGUGGAGGUUUUAUGUUUUUAAUUUGUUUUCCUCUAAAAUUAUCCGCUAUAAUUGUGUUUUUAAUUGAUUUGUGUCGGCAAUGAUUUGAAUGAUUUAUCCGCGCUUCUGAGAGUAAUCAAUGAAGUAAAGGAUGUAAAAUGGUUGAAUUUCUUAAUAUGAGCCGACUACUUUUUUUAUAAGAAUAUGCAGUGAUGAUUGAAUACACGGCUUUAAGCCAGUUCUGCUUCAGAGAAUUCAUGAUUGAUAGAGCUGUUAUUUACUCUGAGCUUAACUAAAUAUGUUUUUAUUAUUAUUUUUUCCAAUGAUGAUGUAAUCCAAUUGUAUGAGGUACGUGGAUCCAAGACCCUGUUUACAGGGAGAACCACUUGGUUGAAGCUGUAUUUCAAUUGAUAUUACUGGAUUUCACUGAGGAUUAUUAAUUUUAAUUAUUAUUAUUAUUGAGUUUAAACUAUACUUUUUACCCUGGAUUAUUCAACGGGUUUGGAGUCUGAAAAAACUCAGAAAGUAUGUGUUGUCAUCAGCUUCUUCUUUCGUAACAUUCACGAGACUGGAGUUAAAUAACAGCACUAAAUAA
rnacentral:lncRNA from 1 species